CAGCAGCCACGGUAAUACGGAGGGUGCAAGCGUUAAUCGGAAUUACUGGGCGUAAAGCGCACGCAGGCGGUCUGACAAGUCAGAUGUGAAAUCCCCGGGCUUAACCUGGGAACUGCAUUUGAAACUGUCAGGCUGGAGUCUUGUAGAGGGGGGUGGAAUUCCAGGUGUAGCGGUGAAAUGCGUAGAGAUCUGGAGGAAUACCGGUGGCGAAGGCGGCCCCCUGGACAAAGACUGACGCUCAGGUGCGAAAGCGUGGGGAGCAAACAGGAUUAGAUACCCGUGUAGUCCCUGUCUCUUAUAC
rnacentral:rRNA from 1 species